CCGGUUUUCCGGAGAAGCCACGGAGUAGAGUUGGCUUCUGGCGCGUAUCGGACUCCGUUCAUAUCAGUCCAAUAGCUCGUUUCGACCGGUUCAGCUGUUUUGGAACCAAUGGCACUGACGGAUUUCAGAUCUGAUGCACGGUUUUUGAGAAAAAGGAGUUUUAUCAAAAAGAUGAUUUUCGUUCCUUGCCUUUCGUGCAUUGUGAAACUCCUUGUGUUCCGUGCUUACGACCUGGAGUAGGGUGAAGGUUGUUUUGGGUCCCUACUUGUAGUAGGGAAGUCCAUUUCUGAUGCGAAAUGGGUUUUGUUGGGUUUACACAUUGGUAUAUGUGUAAUUUAUGUGUUAAUUGGAGAGCGUUGGGUUUUGUCGCGAAUCGGCAACAAAAUCGAUCGAAACAAAUUCUAGUUUCAUUGCCUUCGUCGUGCUGAACGCGAUGGUGCAAUCCGUUCGGAAAUCCGAUGAACGGAUUGCCGGAUUUU
rnacentral:lncRNA from 1 species